UUGGCUCGAAACUAAACAGAAAAUUCAUGCAUCAAAUGAGAUUAUUUAGCAGCAACUGGGCUAAUAAAAAAGUAUUAUGUUCCAACGAAUCCUACAAAACUGUUAAUCCCGAUGUGGAAACAUGCAAUUUAAUUCAGUAGAUAAGAUGGACCACCCCCUCUGCCUGUAUGGUUGUGACAUAUGAGAAAGAUGUGGGACUACAGGACCCGAUUAAGUUAAAUGCCAAGUGGUGAGAACAAGAAACAACGUGAAAAAUAAUAGAUACCCAGAAUGUGAUGUCAAUGUGAAAUGGAAUUAGAAUCAAAAGAUGCCAGAGCAAGGACGUCGUACCAAAAUUCUCUCGCCAGAAAGAUGGCUGUUCCCGGAUAUCCUAAAAGCUGGGACUCCCUGGCUCUUGAGCACUCAUCUGGGUUUUAACCACUACUUCCUCAGUUGUUAUACAACGACUCAGCAGCCACAAGCACCAAGCUACAGGUCCUGAGGAGGUCAAUGGCACCCCAGGAAUUCUUCUGAAAUAUGAAGCAGAAUACUAACCAACAGUGAUAAAUACGAACCGGUGCCAAAACAAGAACUAGACAAUACCUCCUCAUGAAUCUCAAUGUCACCAUCUUCACUAAAGUCUUCAUCGCUGCCAAGCUCUUGAGGAUCAUCGGCCUCUUCAU